ensembl:lncRNA
GUUUUAGUAGAAAAGAUGAAUGUAAAUAUGAUUUUAUUUCCUUUCAGUCAUUCCUGCUUUGAACAGCCUUUGGCUGAGUGCCAUAUAGGCCAUGAUACUUCCAGACUAUCUGCUAAGAGGCAAAGUAUGAGUUAGAUAAGUGAAAAUUUAUAUGCUGGGUUACUUAGUUUUGCUUUUUUGGUAAAAGCUAAUGAGAUGCUAGGAAGUUAUCACUGAGUACAAACCAUUCCAGGCAUCAGCUGCAUAUAUAGGAAACUCUUGGAAAGAAACAACUUUCAGGACUUGACAGAGAGCUUAUGAUCAACCUGUCAGAAUAUGCUUUGGAUAAAGUUUGAGUUUGCUGAGAUAAAUGAUCCACAAUCUUAAAACACUGUGGUAGAGGAUAAUAUGAUUAAAAGGACUGUGUUGGUGUUUAUGUUUCUUGGCAGUAUAGAAUGAGAAAAUUGGUCAGAUAAUUCCCAUAAGAUAAAGAUCUUUCAUCCACAGACUGUCAUCGGUUGUCCAUAAGGCUGACCAUUCUCCUAACACCAAAGAAACUGCAAAAGACCUUUAAGGAUAGUCAUUCCUACACAAUAUUGUUUCCCCUAAAAGUUUGGCACUGGCAAAGGAAUCAAAUUUCAACCUAGAUAUGUUUAUUUUUUGAGUGCUAGAGAGUUUACAUUAAAUCCAAAGAAUUUUGAUUUCCAUUUGUCAUUUCUAUUCAUUUAGUAUGGCAAGAUACAUUAACUUAAAAGAAUGGGAAAGCUUAUUUCAAUCAGAGCUAAGUUACAGUUCUCAUAAGUCUACAAAAAUGGAAAAAACUAGACAUCAAAAGAGGCAGAAAUUGGUAACAGUGAUAGCAUCUAAGAAAACCAAUUUUUAAAGGUAGUUUCAUGAUAAAAGUGGCAUUUGAAGUCAACAGUAUGUUUUCUUAGAGCCUCUUCCAGGAAUAGUCAUUUACCAGGUUAUUAGAUUUUUUUCAUCAACUGUUUAUUUUUUCAUAAGCUGCAAAAAAUUGUAUCCCUCUAAAACCAAAAUGCAAAUGCUUACAUGUGAAUACAAGAAGCUGAGGGAUGGUUACAUAGGCUCUCUCUGUACUAUUUUUGCAACUUCUUUUUGUGAGUCUGUAA